AUAACAGGCCCGGCAGAAAAACAUUCUUAAGGUUUUUAAUUACAUUCUUUUAUGUCUGGGUUUUAUACACGGCUUUAGGUUUUUUCUGUCUGUUUCCCCUUCCCCCUUUCCUAUUUCCCCUUUGUUUUUCAAGCCAGGGUUUCUUUUGUGUAGCUCUGGUUGUAUUGAUGAGGCUGGCCUUGAAAUCAGAGAUCUCCCUGCCUCUGGCUCCCAAGUGCUGGAUUAAAGGUGUGCACCACCACCACUUGUCCUCACUGUUGUCACCACUGGAUUUUGUUUUAUUUUCUGAGAUAGGGAUAGCCAGGGCUACACAGAGAAAACCUGUCUNNNNNNNNNNNNNNNNNNNNNNCCCCCCCCCCCCCCCAAAAAAAAAAAAGAAAUAAAAAGCCUCAGUGUGCUCGCUUUGUAUUUUCUGAAUCCUUACUGUAGGUGCUGUGCCUCACUUUAUUUAUUAAGGAAAUACCAUGUAGUGCUCCAUUCUUUUUACUGGUUGGUUUUGUUUUCUCCUUUUUAGGUAGUACUGGGAAU
ensembl:sense_intronic Gm12971 predicted gene 12971